rnacentral:rRNA from 1 species
AGAAUCAACGCUGGCGUCGUGCCUAACACAUGCAAGUCGAACGAGAAAGGGGAGCAAUCCCUGAGUAAAGUGGCGACCGGGUGAGUAACACGUGACUAACCUACCUUCGAGUGGGGGAUAACCUCGGGAAACCGAGGCUAAUACCGCAUAACAUCGUGAGAUCAAAGCAGUAAUGCGCUGGAAGAGGGGGUCGCGGCUGAUUAGCUAGUUGGCGGGGUAAUGGCCCACCAAGGCGAAGAUCGGUAGCCGGCCUGAGAGGGCGCACGGCCACACUGGAACUGAAACACGGUCCAGACUCCUACGGGAGGCAGCAGUGGGAAUUUUGCGCAAUGGGGGAAACCCUGACGCAGCAACGCCGCGUGGAGGAUGAAGUCCCUUGGGACGUAAACUCCUUUCGACCAAGACGAUAAUGACGGUACUGGUGGAAGAAGCACCGGCUAACUCUGCGCCAGCAGCCGC